UGCCAGAGCUCUUACUGCUGCAGUUUUCUAGUCGCAGUGCGGCAAAGCAGACGCAUAGACCCAGGCACAAAGCAGCAUAGAUUUUUUAUUCUUGCCUUUUUUUGUAUGAGGGAGAUUUUCCUGGUGUUAGCGUAGACACACAGCCUGGAUGUGUUGGCUUCAGCCUGGCAGCGCUUUCAGCUGAACAGGGACUGUUCGGAGCUCGGUAUCCAAACUGCCUCUGAGGAAGAACGCCUGGUUUCUCAUUUUGUAUACUAAGAGGUUCUUUAUGCCACGAUGAUAUACCUGCAGCCAUAGGACAAAGGAGAUUAUGGUAUUUGUCACUGUUUGCCUGACUGGGGCCUUUGCAGGCACUCCACUGCUGAAGCCGUGCCAGCGUCCCAGGGUCGUAUAGAUUGGUAAUACAGAUUGCUGCAAUUUCUUACAUCAGUAUAGCAAAGCUCAGAUGAGAAACCAGACUCUGAACUAAAUCAAUCCCAGUCCUUCUGGAUACAGGGCAGCAGGCGACUAGCAAUGACACAACCAGCCAUCAAGUGGAGAGUCUCUGGGACUGCAGUCUGUAUCAGUUGGAGUCUGUGAGAACGAAACACUUUCGGUUAUCCAGUCGCUUCUCCUUCUUCUAAUACUACAAUUACUACAACUGCUGCUACUACUACUACUACUAUUACUUCUUUUUUUCUUGCCUGUAAGAAGCUAUUACUUGUGCUUGGUCUCUGAGCGUAUGCUUGCGUGGAUUAGUUUGCUUGUAAAGCAGCCCUUAUCUGCUCCUGCUGGAAAUCAGGGCACAAAGUCAGCCUGCUUUAACAGUUGUUUCUUCCUGCGUGAUGCUAUGCAGCUAGAAUGGGUUACACUGACAACAAAGGAACCAACACAAAUCAUCACUUUAUUUGCUGGACUGUUACAGGAACAUAACUCUUCUACGAUAUGAUGUCCUGUUCUCUCCUCUUUCUUCUUUUUUUUUCUUUCUUUUUUUUUUUUUUUUUAAUUCAUCUAAUCGAAGAGCAUAACAGACACUAUCGUGGAUGUGGUUUUUAAUGAUUUGGAAAAGACAGCCUGUGGAGACUGUGAUUUGAGACUGCAACACAUUUAGGUUAUUGCCAAUUUGAAAUACUUGGUUUGUGAAGCACAGCCCUAAGGGACAAGCGCAGUAACUGAGAAAGAGAUUGUAGAUAAAGAAAUAAAAAUGACAAGCGUAAUGGAGGCUCUGCAAAAGAGACUGUCAGAGAAUCAGUUCAUGGAUGGCAAUUUCACCAGUCUGAAUCUGAAUAAUUCAUAGAUUGAAAUUACCCUGCUUUCACCUUUCCAUUUAAACCGGCAUGCUCUGAAUCUCUAAUAAAUUUUCAAGAUAAAGUAAAAUGCCAAUUUGAAUCUGAAGAGCUUUUAAAACCAGAUGCUACACCCUGAAUUUUUCGAUACCUUUCACAAUUAUCCUGUGAGAACUGCACUUCAUCACGAAGCACCAUUACCAGUGAAAAUUACUGUGAUUACAAUAGCAACAAUAGAAUACCAUCAAAUGAUCUCCAAUUUACCUAAUUUACCAGGGCUGACUGUGUGCCCAUUGUGCUUCACUACGUCUGGCAUUGGAUCAAUAUCACAGAGGAACAAAAAUGCCUUAGUAUAUGCUUCCUUUUGGUGCCUUUAACUUCGACACUACAGGAAAAUCUAUCUACUGUUAAGUGGUUUUACAGCCAAUCUACAUGCCUGCUGUAGGAUCUGAUUGAUUCUCCAUGAUUUUCUUUAGUUGCUGGGCAUUGGAUGUCAUUGUGUUACUAAUUUGUUUAUAACGUAUACUCCUGCACAAAGACUGCAGCAAAUGAGUGACAGCACAGCGGCUCUGCACUGCUACAGCAGUAGCAGCGCUCUCGCAGGGGAAGCCAAAAUGAGUUCGGUGCCUUAUGUGAAUAAUUACUUGUGUCUGGGUUAUAAAUGAUCUCUAGCACCACUGGUCUUGGUUGCAUGCCAUGACAAUUGAAUGCAAAAGCCAUGGUCAAGGGAAAUGAUCGUGUAUAAUCCUAACAUGAUUUUUUUUUCCCCUAUUCAGCAUUUAGUAAGAGAUUGUGAGAGAUAGGCUGUGACUCUGUCUAUAAAUGUGUGUCUGUACAUAUGCAUGUACAUAUGUAAAUGUAAACAUAGCAUGCUUUGUGAAUAUGUACCGAUCAUUGAAAGUAACAACUUUUAGGGACAAGCCAGGCACAGUGUUUUGCCACAAUCUGCCUGGUUGUAACAUAUCUCUGUUUUGGAGGUGUAAAUUUUCUAUAGGAUGGUGUGUGACUUCUGGAACAGUAAGUGCAAUUUAUGCAGUAUGUUGGUGCCUAUACCUAUGCUACAGAAUGUAAUUUUAAGCAUAGAGUCCUUAUAGCAUAACUACAGUACAGAGAAGUUAGAAAAAUGUACAGAAGGCUAUAACAGGCAUUCUUCAUGGAGACAACUGUGUCUGCUAUCUGUAUGUGUGUGAGUUGUACACUUCAAUCUUGUUUUUCAUUUUAUAACCAGAUUUACUCUGCCUCCAGGGAGUACUUGCUAAGGAAGGGAAUCCCUGUGGAGCUGAUAGCUGUGGACUAAUGACUGGUAUACCAAGCAGGAUUCACAUUCAUUGCCUCAGAUGCAGCUACAAGUCAGUAUAUUUUAGCUGACAUUUUUCUUGCCUGCUGAACUGACAGAGCCUAUCAGGGUAAAUCAGGUGAGAAUUUUCUGUUCUGGAGGAAAAUGAAGCAUUCAUUUUGUGUUGUAAAAAGAGAUCCUUGAAAAAAAAAAAACAGCAACAACAAAACAAGAACGGAACAGCAGCUACUCUUGCCACCUGAAAGAUCUUGGUGACAGUGUCAUUUUUUCCAGAAGAAAAUCUGCAAGACCUCAGGAUUUCCAUAAGUAUUUUGGACUUCUGGGGUGGAAAGGUGGUAGUUUUGUUAAUGGUUAAAAAUACCCCAGACAGGGAAUGCUGAUUCCUAAACUCUCUUCCCCAGAUUCAGGAGAAUAGUCCUUCCCAUACACUUUAAGAUAAGAUAGGGAGUAAGGAGCAGCAUGACAGUCUGUCCCCCUUCUGCUAGUGGUGUCUGAGAAGCAGCCGCAGGACAGGUGUGUUUCUUGGGAUGGGUUACAGAAGCACAUGGUAGUAUAGCAGCAGUGAGAUGAGCAGGAAGCAACCAGAUAAAUCUACAACAGAAUACCUCAGCCUUUCUGGAUCUGAACUAUGCGUACAAAGUGCAGUCCUACAUGCAUUUUUAUAUAAAGCAGUUUCUUGCUUUAAUGGAAUCCAUUAGAGAGGUAUUUGAACUCUUGUUCAUCCUGCUGCCACUGAUGUGCACCAGCCACAAACAACACAGUCCACUUGUCUCUAUUUUCUUCCUUCAUGAGUCAGAAAGUGUGUAUAAUGUGCUAACAGUAGUUAGAAGUGGCCAGAUUGGUAAAUGAAUGAGCUAUUUAGUGUAAUGAAUAAGGCAUCAUUCAAAGACUACUUUUUAAAAUAUCCUUUCCCACUGCUCGGUGAGCCUUGAGAAAAAGGUAUGCCAGAAAGUAGUUCAUAGUAGAAAUUACUU